rnacentral:rRNA from 1 species
UGGGGAAUUUUCCGCAAUGGGCGCAAGCCUGACGGAGCAAUACCGCGUGAGGGAGGAAGGCUUUUGGGUUGUAAACCUCUUUUCUCAAGGAAGAAGCACUGACGGUACUUGAGGAAUCAGCAUCGGCUAACUCCGUGCCAGCAGCCGCGGUAAUACGGAGGAUGCAAGCGUUAUUCGGAAUUAUUGGGCGUAAAGCGUCCGCAGGUGGUGCCUCAAGUCUGCUGUCAAAGACGGAAGCUCAACUUCGGGCAGGCAGUGGAAACUGAAGCACUAGAGUACGGUAGGGGUAGAGGGAAUUUCCAGUGUAGCGGUGAAAUGCGUAGAGAUUGGAAAGAACAACAGUAGCGAAAGCGCUCUACUGGACCAUUAUUGACACUCAGAGACGAAAGCGAAGGUAGCGAAUGGGAUUAGAUACCCCCGUAGUCC